GAGGGUAGAACUCAGUGAUAGAGUGUGUGCUUUGCAUGCUUGAGGUCCUGGGUUCAAUCCCCAGUACCUCCA
rnacentral:tRNA from 1 species